rnacentral:rRNA from 1 species
CUUUACUGUAACCUGGAAUUGGGUUCGGGCUUUGCUUGCGCAGGAUAGGUGGGAGACUAUGAAGCUGCCCUUGUGGGGGCAGUGGAGUCAUCAGUGAGAUACCACUCUGUCAAGGCUAGAAUUCUAACCGUCUGCCGUUAUCCGGCGACGGAACAGUAUCAGGUGGGCAGUUUGACUGGGGCGGUCGCCUCCUAAAUGGUAACGGAGGCGCGCAAAGGUUCCCUCAGGCUGGUUGGAAAUCAGCCGAAGAGUGUAAAGGCAGAAGGGAGCUUGACUGCAAGAGCAACAACUCAAGCAGGGACGAAAGUCGGCCUUAGUGAUCCGACGGCGCUGAGUGGAAGGGCCGUCGCUCAACGGAUAAAAGUUA